CGGCGACUUAUAGGUAGUGGCAGGUUAAGGUAAUGAUUUACUGGAGCCAUAGCGAAAGCGAGUUUUAAUAGAGCGUUUAGUCACUAUUUAUAGACCCGAACCCGGGUGAUCUAACCAUGGCCAGGGUGAAGCUUAGGUAAAACUAAAUGGAGGCCCGAACCGAUCGAUGUUGAAAAAUCGCCGGAUGAGUUGUGGUUAGGGGUGAAAUGCCAAUCGAACCCGGAGCUAGCUGGUUCUCCCCGAAAUGCGUUGAGGCGCAGCGGUUGAUGUUAUAAUUUAGGGGUAAAGCACUGUUUCGGUGCGGGCUACGAGAGUGGUACCAAAUCGAGGCAAACUCUGAAUACUAAAUGAAUAGUCAACCAGUCAGACAGUGGGGGAUAAGCUCCAUUGUCAAGAGGGAAACAGCCCAGACCACCAUCUAAGGCCCCUAAAUAAUAGCUAAGUGGGAAAGGAGGUGGAAGUGCUUAGACAACCAGGAGGUUUGCUUAGAAGCAGCAAUCCUUUAAAGAGUGCGUAAUAGCUCACUGGUCAAGCGCUUCUGCGCCGAAAAUGAAUGGGACUAAGCUAUUUGCCGAAGCUGUGGGAUGUGCUAUAUAUCAUAUGUUAUAUAGACAUCGGUAGGGGAGCGUUCCGUCAUAGGGUGAAGCACUAACGUAAGUGAGUGUGGACGAAACGGAAGUGAGAAUGUCGGCUUGAGUAGCGAAAACAUUGGUGAGAAUCCAAUGCCCCGAAAACCCAAGGGUUCCUCCGCAAGGCUCGUCCACGGAGGGUGAGUCAGGACCUAAGGCGAGGCCGAAAGGCGUAGUCGAUGGAUAACGGAUUAAUAUUCCCGUACCAUUCGUAGUUAGUGUUGAGGGACGGAGAAGGCUAAAACCUGCUGGAUGUUGGUAGCCACUUUUUGUGGCAUUAUCAGUGCAAGUGUCCAAAGGCGUUGAGAGGUGGAGAAAACACCUUGAGCUAAGGCACGAGUCGUCUUGUAUAAAAUUCAUUUUUUAUACCGGAUUGGUUAACGUCACGCUUCCAAGAAAAGCUCAAAACACGUUAAGCUACGAAUGCUUGUACCCCAAACCGACACAGGUGGGUAGGUAGAGAAUACUAAGGGGCGCGAGAUAACUCUCUCUAAGGAACUCGGCAAAAUGGCCCCGUAACUUCGGGAGAAGGGGUGCCCUUUUUUAAGGGCCACAGUGACCAGGCCCAGGCGACUGUUUACCAAAAACACAGGUCUCCGCUAAUUCGUAAGAUGAUGUAUGGGGGCUGACGCCUGCCCAGUGCCGGAAGGUUAAGGAAGUUGGUCAGCUGUAAAGCAAAGCUAGCGACUGAAGCCCCGGUGAACGGCGGCCGUAACUAUAACGGUCCUAAGGUAGCGAAAUUCCUUGUCGGGUAAGUUCCGACCCGCACGAAAGGCGUAACGAUCUGGGCGCUGUCUCAGAGAGAGACUCGGCGAAAUAGACAUGUCUGUGAAGAUGCGGACUACCUGCACCAGGACAGAAAGACCCUAUGAAGCUUUACUGUAGCCUGAUAUUGGGUUCGGGCUCUUCUUGCGCAGAAUAGGUGGGAGGCAUUGAGAGUACCCUUGUGGGGGUACUGGAGCCAUCAGUGAGAUACCACUCUGGAAGAGCUAGAAUUCUAACUUUAAGCCGUUAUCCGGCUAAAGAACAGUUUCAGGUGGGCAGUUUGACUGGGGCGGUCGCCUCCUAAAAAGUAACGGAGGCGCGCAAAGGUUCCCUCAGACUGGACAGAAAUCAGUCGUAGAGUGUAAAGGCAGAAGGGAGCUUGACUGUAAGACCUACAAGUCGAACAGGAACGAAAGUUGGCCUUAGUGAUCCGACGGUGCCGCGUGGAAGGGCCGUCGCUCAACGGAUAAAAGUUACUCUAGGGAUAACAGGCUGAUCUCCCCCAAGAGUCCACAUCGACGGGGAGGUUUGGCACCUCGAUGUCGGCUCAUCGCAACCUGGGGCGGUAGUACGUCCCAAGGGUUGGGCUGUUCGCCCAUUAAAGCGGUACGUGAGCUGGGUUCAGAACGUCGUGAGACAGUUCGGUCCAUAUCCGGUGUAGGCGUUAGAGUAUUGAGAGGAGCUCUCCCUUGUACGAGAGGAUCGGGAGGGACACACCGCUGGUGUAUCAGUUAUCGUGCCUACGGUAAAUGCUGAGUAGCUAAGUGUGGAGUGGAUAACCGCUGAAAGCAUCUAAGCGGGAAGCCCACCUCAAGAUGAGUGCUCUCAUCGCAAUUUAGCGAGUAAGAUCACGGCAAGACUAGCCGAUUAAUAGGUGUUAAGUGUAAGUGUUGCAAGACAUUCAGCUGAGACAUACUAAUUUACU
rnacentral:rRNA from 1 species